GACGAACGCUGGCGGCGUGCUUAACACAUGCAAGUCGAACGGAAAGGCCCUGCUUUUGUGGGGUGCUCGAGUGGCGAACGGGUGAGUAACACGUGAGUAACCUGCCCUUGACUUUGGGAUAACUUCAGGAAACUGGGGCUAAUACCGGAUAGGAGCUCCUGCUGCAUGGUGGGGGUUGGAAGUUUUGGGCGGUGGGGGAUGGACUCGCGGCUUAUCAGCUUGUUGGUGGGGUAGUGGCUUACCAAGGCUUUGACGGGUAGCCGGCCUGAGAGGGUGACCGGCCACAUUGGGACUGAGAUACGGCCCAGACUCCUACGGGAGGCAGCAGUGGGGAAUAUUGCACAAUGGGCGGAAGCCUGAUGCAGCAACGCCGCGUGCGGGAUGACGGCCUUCGGGUUGUAAACCGCUUUCGCCUGUGACGAAGCGUGAGUGACGGUAAUGGGUAAAGAAGCACCGGCUAACUACGUG
rnacentral:rRNA from 1 species